CUGCCAUUUGCAAAAACAAGAAUUUUUGUUUUAUCAACAUUUACCUUAAGUUGCCAUUUGUUACAAUAUAUGGCAAAAUUGUUUAACAUAUUUUGUAAUUCAGUGCUACUAUCCGCCAAUAAAACAGUGUCAUCAGCAUAUAACAGUAAGAAAAUCUUAAGAUACACAUCUAGUUCAUUUUCUAGGUCUGCACUUAUUGACUGUAAACCUUUUGUAUCUAACUCUUCUAAAAAUGCUUGUAAAUCGUUCAGAUAUACAGAAAACAGAGCAGGCGAUAGAUUUUCACCUUGCCGUACAC
rnacentral:lncRNA from 1 species